UCUCUUCGCUGACCGCAAUCAACCAGGGUCCCCAACCUUCUACGCAAAAGAAUACUCCACGGGCCAGUUACCAAAUCAUGUUGUCCGAGGAUACCAGUGAAGAAGAAAGUGCAUCAACCCCGGUCACAACAAAUACUAAUAGCAUCGAUCGUCUACCUUCUAAAAGUAACAAGA